rnacentral:rRNA from 1 species
CACGUAGGGUGCGAGCGUUGUCCGGAAUUAUUGGGCGUAAAGAGCUCGUAGGCGGUCUGUCGCGUCUGCUGUGAAAACUCGGGGCUUAACCCCGGGCCUGCAGUGGGUACGGGCAGACUAGAGUGCGGUAGGGGAGACUGGAAUUCCUGGUGUAGCGGUGAAAUGCGCAGAUAUCAGGAGGAACACCGGUGGCGAAGGCGGGUCUCUGGGCCGUAACUGACGCUGAGGAGCGAAAGCAUGGGGAGCGAACAGG